rfam:Schistosoma mansoni strain Puerto Rico chromosome 4, complete genome
AUCCAACUGACGAGUCUCAAAUAGGACGAAACGCGCAUCCUGGAU